rnacentral:rRNA from 1 species
CAUGUUUGUGUAGGAUAGCUGGGAGGCUUUGAAACCAGGACGCCAGUUCUGGUGGAGCCAACCUUGAAAUACCAGCCUGACCUGUUUGAGGUUCUAACUUCGACCCCUUAUCGGGGUUAAGGACACUGUGUGGUGGGUAGUUUGACUGGGGCGGUCUCCUCCCAAAGAGUAACGGAGGAGCACGAAGGUACACUAAGUAUGGUCGGACAUCAUACGGUUAGUGCAAUGGCAAAAGUGUGCUUGACUGCGAGACAGACACGUCGAGCAGGUACGAAAGUAGGUCAUAGUGAUCCGGUGGUUCUGUAUGGAAGGGCCAUCGCUCAACGGAUAAAAGGUACGCCGGGGAUAACAGGCUGAUACUGCCCAAGAGUCCAUAUCGACGGCAGUGUUUGGCACCUCGAUGUCGGCUCAUCUCAUCCUGGGGCUGGAGCAGGUCCCAAGGGUACGGCUGUUCGCCGUUUAAAGAGGUACGUGAGCUGGGUUUAGAACGUCGUGAGACAGUUCGGU